rnacentral:rRNA from 1 species
UAGGUACACAAAAGCAAACCCGGAGAAUUGAAACAUCUAAGUACCCGGAGGAAAAGAAAUCAACCGAGAUUCCCCAAGUAGCGGCGAGCGAAAGGGGAGCAGCCGAGCAAACAAGUUAUAGAAGAACACUCUGGAAAGUGUGACCAUAGUGGGUGAUAGUCCCGUAUUUGAAAUGGCUUGUUUGACAUAUUAAGUAGGUCGGGGCACGAGAAACCUUGACUGAAGAUAGGGGGACCAUCCUCUAAGGCUAAAUACUCCUUACCGACCGAUAGUGAACCAGUACUGUGAAGGAAAGGCGAAAAGAACCCCGGAGGGGGGAGUGAAAUAGAACCUGAAACCGCAUACGUACAAGCAGUGGGAGCCUCCUUGAGGGGUGACUGCGUACCUUUUGUAUAAUGGGUCAGCGACUUAAUUUUAGUAGCAAGGUUAACCGUUAGGGGAGCCGUAGGGAAACCGAGUCUUAAUAGGGCGUUUAGUUGCUAGGAUUAGACCCGAAACCGAGCGAUCUAUCCAUGGCCAGGUUGAAGGUUGAGUAACAUCAACUGGAGGACCGAACCCACGUAUGUUGAAAAAUGCAGGGAUGAGCUGUGGAUCGGAGUGAAAGGCUAAUCAAGCUCGGAGAUAGCUGGUUCUCCUCGAAAUCUAUUUAGGUAGAGCCUCGUAUAUAACUCCUGGGGGUAGAGCACUGUUAUGGCUAGAGGGCCUUGAUCGGCUUAUCAACCCAUUGCAAACUCCGAAUACCAGGAAGUUCAGUACGGGAGACACACGGCGGGUGCUAACGUCCGUCGU